UACUGCCACAUGGUAUCGCCCAGCGCCGAGGCACGGCUGCGCUUAGGCCGGGAACCGUCUGAGAGCUCCCGAACUGAGGGUAGAUGUAGCUCCACAGCCGUGCCGGCUGGAUGCGUGUAGAGCCGCUGCGCCCUACUUCCACCAUUCCCGCCUCCCUGUACCACAGUGAGCGCCUCAGGAACCGCCCGACAUCCGAAAGAACACGGGUGGUUUAUCCCACCGACACCUGUGGCAGCAGUAAAAGGGUCUAAUCUAAUUUGCUAACGCUGGGAGGAUUUGUGGAUUUGAACUGCAGGCUUGAAAUGGCUCACCUUCCUCUCUUCUUAGCUCUGUUAAGUAUGAGCGUCACGAUCAGUUUGUUUUUUAUGACGUGCUUUUAAUGGAAAUGGUGCUGUGGAAAUAGCGGUGUUCAAAAAAAAACAAUCUUACAUUAUUCCAACAAGUAGGUGUUUUUUUCUUCUUCCGCAUUUGUUCCCCUCAAGCCUUUUACCACGAUGAUCUCGUCUUAACAGCGAGGCUUACAGAGCAGUUUCUCAGUCCCUUGGUAGCACGCGAAUUCAGUGUUAACAGGAAGACCUCGCCAUUGCCCGCCCCUCAGCUGCUCUCUGCCAUCUGGUGGAAACGCGGAGUCACUGCUUCGGUAUUUCCAGUUUCCACAAAGGAAGCGAUGAUUUGAGCAACUGAGCCGAUAUCGCACAGCCGUAAGGAUGGCUGAGGCUGCCAGGGUCCUCCCUGCCCACCUGGCCCCAGCCCUGCCCGAACACACCACGGCCAGGAACCUUCUGGAGAUUUCCAAGGAGGAGACUUCACAGCCUGUGGGCGGCCUGUGCCAGUGCUCCGUCACCUGCACAGCAUAGAAGUGCUGUCUGGUGGAUAGACAGAACCUCCUGUGUGUCACUUUGUGCCCAGUGCCCCUUAUUCAGGUGCUUUCUACCUGAGAGGCCUGUCUUGGGUUUGGCCCUUCUCCUUCCUGCGCUUCAUUAGGUCCUUUUACAGAGGUGCAACUUAAGAAAGCGUGAGAUCUCACAAGAAAAACACUGCCUACAUUUGAAAACUUAGAUCAGAAUCUCUCGUGUACCUUACCAGCUGAUUUGUAACCUAGUGAACAUAUGACACAAGCGGGUUUAUAAAAAUGAACAGGUUAAUUACACAUUCUUUCCAUAACAUUAUGUGCACCACAGGUACUGUUGUCUGUUUGCAUUCAGAGCAGAAGCACGACUUAAAAGCAGCGCGAACCAAGCUGAAAUAUGUGCCAUAUCUCAUGUGGCAACGUGCAGUAAAAAGAAGGGAUUGAUAGAAUGUUAGGGUUGCUCAGCAUUUAGUGCCUCAUUCCUUGCUGGAGUCCUAUUCCACUGUCUAACACUGUGUGGACUUCACUGGCCUUUUCUCCAGUUACCAGCAUUACCUUGGUUUCUCUUAAUGUAAGGCCUCCUUCCUUUUCAACCUCUGCUCUCUGACAGAGUCCUCAGGUGUGGUCAGACCUUUGAGCACACAGUGUGACUGCACAGGCCUACUUGCCAUUAAGAAACUCAUCAAUGAUUGUGCUUGGGUCUUGCACGUUGCAGGAGUGUGAAUGUUGGAGAGAAGGCUUAGCCAUAAGGGAGUUUGCUCUGAGAUGUUUAAAAGAAGAUUGAUAGAAGUAAAGCAACCUUGAGGAGGGAGCUGAACUCUUUGGAAGAACUAAAGGAGUUUGUCUUUGUAGCAAGUCAGAUCUGCCUCACUGUUUUCUGUUUACCAGCAUGCGUUUUAUACUUGUUUUGUGCCAUACCUCCAGAUAUCAUUUUAGGGAACAAAUUAUGAUUAUGAUUUGAAGACUAAAAAAUCCUCCUGCAAUCCUUUCAUCACAAGUGCAUGAUGCUGUUUUUCAGCUAUGGUAAACAUCUAAGUAAAAUAUGGGACGGACUGCUCCUGAGUUUGUUAGCACAGGAGGGAUACAUCCAGAGACAUGUAGAGAAACAAUGGGAAAAGGUGAAAAUAGAAGGUAGAGCUUAUAAACUUGCAUGGGAUGGGUCAUGAUCAUCUCUCUAGACGAAAUCUCUGGAAGAUCUGGGUGUACCUAGAAAUGAGAACCACGAACAGCUGGGUUCCGUUGCUGUCGCAGAAGUUAUAUGCACAAAACUUCAUGUCUGCCAACGUGCAACACAGCCACUACUCACUGUCAGGAGAUCACAGCACAUGAAUAACGAGAGAAGGGACCUUGAUCAAG